GAUGAACGCUGGCGGCGUGCUUAACACAUGCAAGUCGAACGGAAAGGCCCUGCUUUUGUGGGGUGCUCGAGUGGCGAACGGGUGAGUAACACGUGAGUAACCUGCCCUUGACUUUGGGAUAACUUCAGGAAACUGGGGCUAAUACCGGAUAGGAGCUCCUGCUGCAUGGUGGGGGUUGGAAAGUUUCGGCGGUUGGGGAUGGACUCGCGGCUUAUCAGCUUGUUGGUGGGGUAGUGGCUUACCAAGGCUUUGACGGGUAGCCGGCCUGAGAGGGUGACCGGCCACAUUGGGACUGAGAUACGGCCCAGACUCCUACGGGAGGCAGCAGGGGGGAAUAUUGCACAAUGGGCGGAAGCCUGAUGCAGCAACGCCGCGUGCGGGAUGACGGCCUUCGGGUUGUAAACCGCUUUCGCCUGUGACGAAGCGUGAGUGACGGUAAUGGGUAAAGAAGCACCGGCUAACUACGUG
rnacentral:rRNA from 1 species